rnacentral:lncRNA from 1 species
CACCCCAGGACUUCGUUGUACGAAUAUGUCCAAGUGUGCCUCUGCAGGAAAAUGAAGAUGUGAUUUCACCAGAGCUAUAGCAGUGGGACUGCAGAAGGAGCCGUGGGUCAUGACCUAUGGACUUGCACAGGAGGGCGAUGUGCAGGCUGCAAUUUGAAGAUCGGAAGAACAGAACUGUGACAGCAACAAGAGGGGGAUUUGCCAUCUUCAAACAGCGCUUUACAACCGCAACAGCCAAGAUGAGAAACUGAGGCACAAAUUGCUCCCAACACCCAGAUUUCCCAGAUUAUUUGGCUUGGAAAUAACAUUGAGGAUCAAUCACAGCCAUUUGGAGGUACAGUCCAUUUGUAAGAUUUUGGGACACUCUGCAUCCUGACCCA